rnacentral:rRNA from 1 species
AGCAGCCGCGGUAAUUCCAGCUCCAAUAGCGUAUAUUAAAGUUGUUGCAGUUAAAAAGCUCGUAGUUGAAUUUCGGGGUUAGUAGGUUGGUCAUGCCUCUGGUAUGUACUGGUCUCACUGAUUCCUCCUUCCUGAUGAACCUUAAUGCCAUUAAUUUGGUGUUUUGGGGAAUUUGGACUGUUACUUUGAAAAAAUUAGAGUGUUUAAAGCAAGCUAACGCUUGAAUACAUUAGCAUGGAAUAAUGAAAUAGGACGUUCGAUCCUAUUUUGUUGGUUUCUAGGAUUGACGUAAUGAUUAAUAGGGAUAGUUGGGGGCAUUAGUAUUCAAUUGUCAGAGGUGAAAUUCUUGGAUUUAUUGAAGACUGACUACUGCGAAAGCAUUUGCCAAGGAUGUUUUCAUUAAUCAAGAACGAAAGUUAGGGGAUCGAAGACGAUCAGAUACCGUCGUAGUCUUAACCAUAAACUAUGCCGACUAGGGAUCGGAUGAUGUUAAUUUUUUAAUGACUCA